AUCAGCAACCAGACUCAACAUCUGGACAUCACUCACCUCUGUCACACACAUGCAGAUCAACACCUACCUUUGUACAUAGUGCUGAUCUCUGCUGCUGCUGCUGGAUCUCUGUUGAUUGUACUCGUGAUCUGCUGCAUCUGCAGGAGAUGUAGAAAAACAGUCGAGACACGGGAGGAAGACGGAACUGAUUCAUCAUUGUGUAAAUCAACAACACGACAAGAGAAAUCAAAGACGGAGUCUGUGUAUGAAAAUGUCCCCAAAAAACGAUGAUCAAAUGCUGUAUCUUUCUACUGGAACUGAUGUCAGAGGUCAUACAGGACAACGCCUCACGUUUUUGGUUUUAUUCACAUUAAUUCUAUGACAAGAUGUCUAAAUUUGUUUUUGCUCAUAUGCACAUAGUUGUUAUUGUAUUGUUUGAAAUGUUGUUUCUCUGCAUUAGUUUAAUUUAGUGGUCCUCUAUUAGCAUCCAGAAACUCAACUAAAAUGUGCUAAUUUUAUCUUAUCAUUUGGAAGUUUAUCUAACUUUAAUUAUUAAACAUUUAUCCUACUCUUCUGUGCUCCUUUGUCUAUCAAUUACUGUUCUUGUUUGUUUGUUUUCUCUGGUUUACAAUAUUACACACACACAAUGCUGAAUAUUUUGGAAUGUAACAAGCACGUCAUCACUCUCUGAUGUCUCUCUAGCAGAGGUGUAAAGACCAGGGGUCAGAAAGUAAAAGUCCUGCCAUAUUUUUACUCCACCCACUGAAGCAGUGUUAAAGUU